UCUUCAUCCUCGUCCUUGUUGUCUUCUUCCUCCUUGUUGGCUGCAGACGUCGGAUAUGGAGAGACGAGUGCCCUGCUGCCCCUGCCGAAAAGCAUGAGGACAUGGAGUUCCAGGUGCCUUCCAGUGACAGCGAGGGUCUGACCUACGUGGAGCUGCAAGCUGUGACCCCCAGCACUCAGCCCCUCAACCCCCCCGCUGACCCCCAGCCCUCUGUUAUCUACGCCGAGGUAGCAGUUGGGAGGCAUCACUGAUGCCUCCAUACGUGUGGACAAACACGUGUGUCUAGUGUGCACACAU